UGACCAACCUGCCCCUUGCUCUGGGAUAACCCCGGGAAACCGGAGCUAAUACCGGAUACGAGACCGAGCGACAUCGCUCAGUCUGGAAAGUUUUUCGGCAAGGGAUGGGGUCGCGGCCUAUCAGCUUGUUGGUGGGUAAUGGCCCACCAAGGCGACGACGGGUAGCCGGCCUGAGAGGGCGACCGGCCACACUGGGACUGAGACACGGCCCAGACUCCUACGGGAGGCA
rnacentral:rRNA from 1 species